UACGUAGGCAGCAAGCGUUGUUCGGAUUUACUGGGCGUAAAGGGUGCGUAGGCGGCUUGGCAAGUCGGAUGUGAAAUCCCUCGGCUCAACCAAGGAAGUGCAUCCGAAACUGCUGAGCUUGAGUACUUAAGAGGAUCGCGGAAUUCCCGGUGUAGAGGUGAAAUUCGUAGAUAUCGGGAGGAACACCAGUGGCGAAGGCGGCGAUCUGGGAAGAUACUGACGCUGAGGUGCGAAAGCGUGGGGAGCAAACAGG
rnacentral:rRNA from 1 species